AGAGUUUGAUCCUGGCUCAGGACGAACGCUGGCGGCGUGCCUAACACAUGCAAGUCGAACGGAGAAUUUUAUUUCGGUAGAAUUCUUAGUGGCGAACGGGUGAGUAACGCGUAGGCAACCUGCCCUUUAGACGGGGACAACAUUCCGAAAGGAGUGCUAAUACCGGAUGUGAUCAUCGUGCCGCAUGGCAGGAUGAAGAAAGAUGGCCUCUACAAGUAAGCUAUCGCUAAAGGAUGGGCCUGCGUCUGAUUAGCUAGUUGGUAGUGUAACGGACUACCAAGGCGAUGAUCAGUAGCCGGUCUGAGAGGAUGAACGGCCACAUUGGGACUGAGACACGGCCCAAACUCCUACGGGAGGCAGCAGUGGGGAAUCUUCCGCAAUGGACGAAAGUCUGACGGAGCAACGCCGCGUGAGUGAUGAAGGAUUUCGGUCUGUAAAGCUCUGUUGUUUAUGACGAACGUGCAGUGUGUGAACAAUGCAUUGCAAUGACGGUAGUAAACGAGGAAGCCACGGCUAACUACGUGCCAGCAGCCGCGGUAAUACGUAGGUGGCGAGCGUUGUCCGGAAUUAUUGGGCGUAAAGAGCAUGUAGGCGGCUUAAUAAGUCGAGCGUGAAAAUGCGGGGCUCAACCCCGUAUGGCGCUGGAAACUGUUAGGCUUGAGUGCAGGAGAGGAAAGGGGAAUUCCCAGUGUAGCGGUGAAAUGCGUAGAUAUUGGGAGGAACACCAGUGGCGAAGGCGCCUUUCUGGACUGUGUCUGACGCUGAGAUGCGAAAGCCAGGGUAGCGAACGGGAUUAGAUACCCCGGUAGUCCUGGCCGUAAACGAUGGGUACUAGGUGUAGGAGGUAUCGACCCCUUCUGUGCCGGAGUUAACGCAAUAAGUACCCCGCCUGGGGAGUACGGCCGCAAGGUUGAAACUCAAAGGAAUUGACGGGGGCCCGCACAAGCGGUGGAGUAUGUGGUUUAAUUCGACGCAACGCGAAGAACCUUACCA
rnacentral:rRNA from 1 species